GUGGCGAACGGGUGAGUAAUAUAUCGGAACGUGCCCAGUCGUGGGGGAUAACGUAGUGAAAAUUACGCUAAUACCGCAUACGAUCUAAGGAUGAAAGCGGGGGAUCGCAAACCUCGCGCGACUGGAGCGGCCGAUAUCAGAUUAGGUAGUUGGUAGGGUAAAGGCCUACCAAGCCAACGAUCUGUAGCUGGUCUGAGAGGACGACCAGCCACACUGGAACUGAGACACGGUCCAGACUCCUACGGGAGGCGGCAGUGGGGAAUUUUGGACAAUGGGCGAAAGCCUGAUCCAGCCAUUCCGCGUGCAGGAUGAAGGCCCUCGGGUUGUAAACUGCUUUUGUACAGAACGAAAAGGUUUCUAUUAAUACUAGGAGCUCAUGACGGUACUGUAAGAAUAAGCACCGGCUAACUACGUGCCAGCAGCCGCGGUAAUACGUAGGGUGCAAGCGUUAAUCGGAAUUACUGGGCGUAAAGCGUGCGCAGGCGGUUAUAUAAGUCAGAUGUGAAAUCCCCGGGCUCAACCUGGGAACUGCAUUUGAGACUGUAUAGCUAGAGUACGGUAGAGGGGGAUGGAAUUCCGCGUGUAGCAGUGAAAUGCGUAGAUAUGCGGAGGAACACCGAUGGCGAAGGCAAUCCCCUGGACCUGUACUGACGCUCAUGCACGAAAGCGUGGGGAGCAAACAGGAUUAGAUACCCUGGUAGUCCACGCCCUAAACGAUGUCAACUGGUUGUUGGGUCUUAACUGACUCAGUAACGAAGCUAACGCGUGAAGUUGACCGCCUGGGG
rnacentral:rRNA from 1 species